rnacentral:rRNA from 1 species
GUGGGGAAUCUUGCGCAAUGGGCGAAAGCCUGACGCAGCCAUGUCGCGUGAAUGAUGAAGGUCUUAGGAUUGUAAAAUUCUUUCACCGGGGACGAUAAUGACGGUACCCGGAGAAGAAGCUCCGGCUAACUUCGUGCCAGCAGCCGCGGUAAUACGAAGGGGGCUAGCGUUGCUCGGAAUUACUGGGCGUAAAGGGCGCGUAGGCGGACAGCUUAGUCAGAGGUGAAAGCCCAGGGCUCAACCUUGGAAUUGCCUUUGAUACUGGCUGUCUUGAGUUUGGGAGAGGUGAGUGGAACUCCGAGUGUAGAGGUGAAAUUCGUAGAUAUUCGGAAGAACACCAGUGGCGAAGGCGACUCACUGGCCCAAUACUGACGCUGAGGCGCGAAAGCGUGGGGAGCAAACAGGAUUAGAAACCCGUGUAGUCC